UGUGCAAUGGGCUCGUCCACUGACAUAGGUUCUUCAAACAUGUUUGUUCAUCAUUCAUUGAGAGGUGAAGUCCUACACCAUUGACAUAGGACAAAUGCACUUGUAAUCGAUUACUGGGACCAUGUAAUCGCUUACCAGGGAAAAAUUCUCCUUUUGGACUCAAAGUUGACAAGAACUACUCAGGUCUGACUUAAGCACUCCCUAGGGUUAUUUUGGAGUCCUUUUGACUAUGUUUUGAAGGUUUUCUCG
rnacentral:sRNA from 1 species